CUAACACCUUAAGAGUGUUCUGAAAAAAUUGAAUGGUAGAAGAAUAUUGAUGUGUUUGUGCCACUUGAAGCCGCUUCAUGGAAAUGUCGGAGGAAAUCACUUAUGAAAACGAUGGAACUUUCAGCAACCAACAAAGACGUACAGGGGGAAAUCUGUUCUGGCUUGUUGUCCUGAGCUUUGGACUCUUGUGUGUCCUUCAAGCUUCUCUCAACAUUUCACUGCGCUUCACUCUCUAUAAGACAGGAGAGGACAUUUUGAAGAACGUGACUGAAGA